rnacentral:rRNA from 1 species
UGGGGAAUUUUGGACAAUGGGCGAAAGCCUGAUCCAGCAAUGCCGCGUGUGUGAAGAAGGCCUUCGGGUUGUAAAGCACUUUUGUCCGGAAAGAAAUCCUUGGCUCUAAUACAGUCGGGGGAUGACGGUACCGGAAGAAUAAGCACCGGCUAACUACGUGCCAGCAGCCGCGGUAAUACGUAGGGUGCAAGCGUUAAUCGGAAUUACUGGGCGUAAAGCGUGCGCAGGCGGUUUGCUAAGACCGAUGUGAAAUCCCCGGGCUCAACCUGGGAACUGCAUUGGUGACUGGCAGGCUAGAGUAUGGCAGAGGGGGGUAGAAUUCCACGUGUAGCAGUGAAAUGCGUAGAGAUGUGGAGGAAUACCGAUGGCGAAGGCAGCCCCCUGGCAAGUACUGACGCUCAUGCACGAAAAGCGUGGGGAGCAAACAGGAUUAGAUACCCUGGUAGUCCACGCCCUAAAACGAUGUCAACUAGUUGUUGGGGAUUCAUUUCCUUAGUAACGUAGCUAACGCGUGAAGUUGACCGCCUGGGGAGUACGGUCGCAAGAUUAAAAACUUAAAGGAAUUGAC